rnacentral:rRNA from 1 species
AGCUUGACUGCGAGCGUGACGGCGCGAGCAGGUGCGAAAGCAGGUCAUAGUGAUCCGGUGGUUCUGAAUGGAAGGGCCAUCGCUCAACGGAUAAAAGGUACUCCGGGGAUAACAGGCUGAUACCGCCCAAGAGUUCAUAUCGACGGCGGUGUUUGGCACCUCGAUGUCGGCUCAUCACAUCCUGGGGCUGAAGUAGGUCCCAAGGGUAUGGCUGUUCGCCAUUUAAAGUGGUACGCGAGCUGGGUUUAGAACGUCGUGAGACAGUUCGGUCCCUAUCUGCCGUGGGCGCUGGAGAAUUGAGGGGGGCUGCUCCUAGUACGAGAGGACCGGAGUGGACGCAUCACUGGUGUUCGGGUUGUCAUGCCAAUGGCACUGCCCGGUAGCUAAAUGCGGAAGAGAUAAGUGCUGAAAGCAUCUAAGCACGAAACUUGCCCCGAGAUGAGUUCUCCCUGAGAC